GAUGAACGCUAGCGACAGGCUUAACACAUGCAAGUCGAGGGGCAGCACGAUGUAGCAAUACAUUGGUGGCGACCGGCGCACGGGUGAGUAACGCGUAUGCAACCUACCUAUCAGAGGGGAAUAACCCGGCGAAAGUCGGACUAAUACCGCAUAAAACAGGGGUUCCACAUGGAAAUAUUUGUUAAAGAAUUAUCGCUGAUAGAUGGGCAUGCGUUCCAUUAGAUAGUUGGUGAGGUAACGGCUCACCAAGUCCACGAUGGAUAGGGGUUCUGAGAGGAAGGUCCCCCACACUGGUACUGAGACACGGACCAGACUCCUACGGGAGGCAGCAGUGAGGAAUAUUGGUCAAUGGGCGAGAGCCUGAACCAGCCAAGUCGCGUGAAGGAUGAAGGAUCUAUGGUUUGUAAACUUCUUUUAUAUGGGAAUAAAGUGAGGAACGUGUUCCUUUUUGUAUGUACCAUAUGAAUAAGCAUCGGCUAACUCCGUGCCAGCAGCCGCGGUAAUACGGAGGAUGCGAGCGUUAUCCGGAUUUAUUGGGUUUAAAGGGUGCGUAGGUGGUUAAUUAAGUCAGCGGUGAAAGUUUGUGGCUCAACCAUAAAAUUGCCGUUGAAACUGGUUGACUUGAGUAUAUUUGAGGUAGGCGGAAUGCGUGGUGUAGCGGUGAAAUGCAUAGAUAUCACGCAGAACUCCGAUUGCGAAGGCAGCUUACUAAACUAUAACUGACACUGAAGC
rnacentral:rRNA from 1 species